GCGACCCCAGGACGGGCGAGGCCACCCGCCGAGUUUAAG
rnacentral:rRNA from 20 species